AGCCGCCCCCUCUUAACCCUCAUAAAUUUACAGAAUCACAAUUCAUUGAUUCAGUGUUCACAGAUCUUUCAUCUUUCUCAAGUCUCAAACUCUCAAUCUCAGAAUCUCUCACACUCUCAGCCGUCCAGCCGCCCUCUCUCAAUCCUCACAAACCAAAUAAAAAAUAAUCAAUCUUCAUCUCCAUUCUCCUGAGUCCCUGACUCUACAAAUCUAGACAAACCAGCCAUAUCCCUCUCCCAGUCUCCCACACGGGCAUGACACCCGACCCGACCUGACCUAACCUCCAAAUCUAGCAAACCAGUCACCUCCCUCUCUCACACCUGACCCGACCUUGAAUCUUGUCACACCAGAAUUUGGUGAAAACUUAUAUCUAGCAACGGAUGAUAAUUAGUUUAAAAAUUAAUUUGAUGGUUUUGAUGUCAAUGGUAUUAAGGAAUCAAAGUGCAAUGUUCUUGUCAUCUUGAUCUACUUUUCAAUUGGGAUGAUGUGCACAAUGAAGAUUUAUAUUUUUUGCAUAAAGUGUUUUAUUUUUUAUGACGAGGUUAUUUGUUGUUUAGGCCCUUUUAAAGGCAGGGCUUUGUAAUUUAAAUUUUAACUUGGUGUGUUUGUUAUUUAAACUCUGAUGCAGAUGGUCCAAAACACAAAUAUUAGAAAGACUUUUAAUUAAUUUUAAACACAAUAUUGGCACUAAUAAUUUAAUAUAAAUGAAUAUUUAGUGAUAAAAAAUUAAAUAUAUUAUAGAAUCUUGUAACAAAGUGAGAUAAUAUUAACAUUAAUUACAAGCUCAUCAGAAGGCCCAAAACAAGCUCAAAAAAGCUCAAAAAAAGCUCAAAUAAAAAAUUCAGGUUUUCUGGUUUUUAUGUAAAAUUAACCUAACCGAACCGAAACUGGUUGGUUUGAAUCGGUUCCGGUUAGAAUUUUUUUAUUUUAAAAUUUUUUAUUUUGGUUAUUUUUUUAGAUAAAAAUUGAAUCGAACCGAAAAUAAUCACCAAGCUCAGAAUAUCCAUAUUGAAGUUGUUAGACAAUAUAGAGAUACAGAAGAAACAAAGAAAUAGACCAGUAAUAAGAAUUGUUAUUAUUGUGACUGCAAGCAUAAUUUCUUUAUUGAUGUAAUAACUCUUUUAUAGAAGAGUUUUGAUAACAAACUUCAGAAAAAUAAUAACAAGAUAAAAACAAAAAAAAAGCUGUUCUAUAACAGUUUUAUUUGCAACUAACAUCAUAACAAAUUGCAACUAAUCUUGACUGAAUCUUCUUAGCAUCAAAGACCUCUUCUUCAGCAGCAAAUGAUGCAACUGUCAACACUCCUCCUUGCAUCUUUUGCUGCAGACACCUAUCUUGUUCCUCAAUGUUUCAAACCUUGUUUUUUAUAAUGGCUUGGUUAACAUAUCAACUAGUCUUUUGUGUUGCAAUAAAGAAGUUGUAAUUCAUCAUUUUUCUGAACUUCUCUUACAAAAUAAUACUUGAGCUUGAAAUGCUUUGUUUUGCCAUGGAAGAUUGGAUUGUUGGAUAUUGCAAUUGUAGCCUGAUUAUCAACAUUGACUUUAGUAGCUUUAUUCUGCUCCAUGUCCAAAUUUGCUAAGAUUUUUCUAAGCCAUAAAACUUGAU